GUAACACAUUUUAAACAGUAUUUAUUUAUUUUAUUUUUUUUAAUCAAACUUAACUAUAAGAUAUAAUCACCGGUGAUGUGCUCUGUGGUUGGGGCUAAGUUAACAGCACCUGGUGGUGAACAGUGUUGCUAGAUUGGCUGACAAAAAGCCCAAUCGGAGCCUAAUAACCCGCCCAAUCGCGGUCAAAGUAGCCCACUGAUUUACGAGUAGUUAAUUUGCAAAAAUUAACUACGACGAAUUAGCUACCUGCAGUAACCGUUUGCUGUGUAGCAUUGGCUGUUUUGGCAGCUAUUGAUGAAUAACUUUGACACUGAAGUAAACUCAAAAAAGUGAUGACUCUCAGGCAAGUUAUGGAGCUAUACGGAGCGUCUUUUUUUUCUAAGCGGAUUUGUGGACAUUAAUCUACGAUGGACGUCGCAGACAAUGAUAUCCUCUGAAAGUACUUGAGGCGCCCUCUUACCUUUCAUGCCCACAGCUUUGCUGGACAGACAGAGCUGCCCAGGUGGACACUUCAGAGGAAAUCUGAUGCAGUCAAGAGAAACCAGCUGUCUUCAUCUCGGAAUACAAGAAAACUGCUGAAGUCUCGUCUUUAUCAGGCAGUUUCCAAGCAGCUUUAUUCAGUCUUUCUUGGCUUCCUCAUCCGGCCUAGCUGCAGAGAUCUGAAGCUCUACUUAACAUAAGACAGGGAGAGUUGGCUUCUGGAUGCCCCCUGCUGGAGUAAGGAAGGCACGGCUCGCUUGUUGACCUGCUGGAGCCUCAUGCGGACGACACCUGCGUCCACCUGAGCUGCUGCUCUCUUGCUGUGCAGGUCGUCCAGUAGCUGCAGACAGGCGUGCUGCAGCCUUGCCAGCUCACUCUCAGAGGACUUUAGAUAUUGCCUCAGCACUGCACUGCCCUGAGAUACACACAGGAAACACAUUUGGCCUGAUUUCUGAUAGUGUUAAA